AAAAAAUUAAGAAAGUUAAAGCAACAAGAACAUACACUACACAGUGGCGAUAGGCAAAAUUCCAGCCAAUGUGCGCAUUUAGGAGCAAGAGGAGGAGAUGGAUAUGGGGAGGUGUCCACUUCCUGCUCACGUCAGAAGCACUGGGGAGCUUAGGUCUAAAGCUCUUCUGGGAGAGAAGAGGAGACCCUGGAUCUAAGACAUUCUGUAACUGCUGCUCUCGGCCCACAGGCCUGUUGCAAGGAGCCUUCCAGGGAACCGGCCUGCAGACUAACUCUGGAAGGGCACAUACAUGUAACCCACCCUCUCUUACGGGCGUGAGAGCGUGUGUUGCUGAGUUUCCUCCUGCUGGUGGCAUUCUCUUGGGAAGGACUGCCUCUCCUGCCCUGGAUUUGGAUCUUGACCUUUACUGAGCGCAUUUAGGUAAGACAGCCUGCAUGACACUCUCUCUAUCCUGGAUCAAUUCCCUGCAGUCCCUUAAAGAUGUUUGCACUGUGCACGUCCUAAAGUCCAUCCUCUUCUCGGUAGAGGUGUCCCUUGCUAAUACUCUUCUAUUCUUCCUUGUCAUCCCUUGGCCUUACACCUCUACUGUGCCACCUUCUCUGCAUCCUUUUAUAAGUUUUCCUUUUUGGCUUUCAAAACCUUUUCUUUUCUGAGAGCAAUUCUUUCC
rnacentral:lncRNA from 1 species